UUUUAAUUUUAGAUUCAGCAUGCCAAAAUUACUAAAACAACUAAAUUUAUGUCUGAUGAGUCAUGAGUGAGUGAAAUACUUUUAACUUUUAAAAAUAACAAUUCCAUAUCGACUUCAGAGUUUAAUUGAAUCCUUAGGCCAGUAUUAAAUCAGUUGUUGCAGCAGUGAAACUUAAUUUGAAAUGUAUUCGGACUGAGACGAGGAAGACGCACUUGUGGCUGAAGAUGGUGUCCUUGAGAAUGACGCUGAGCAUAUAUUCUGGAGGCUAAAAGAGUACCCUUUUCUGCAUUGCCAUACUCCAUAUCGACAAGUUCCUCGCGAGGAAUAUAUUAUAAACAAUAACAUACGUAAUUUAUAAAAUGCGAAAUGUGUAUUAAGCUUACUAAGAACAAUAGCCACUGACUAGAGUCACUGUCAAAUUAUUCAUUUUUCAAAGCAAUAUUGAUUGAAAUGUUUCAAGAGCCGCUACUUUUGGC